CUUCCUCUCUGCCUGAGGCUUUCUCAUGGGCAGGCUACCUGGCUUUCUCACUUGGCUUCUCUCCAAGACACCCCCUCUCAGAUCACAUAGAGAGGUUUCCAUGCCUGACCCUGACUGCUGACAAAACACCCAAGACCCCUGCUCUUCUAGCUGAUUAAUAAAGUUAAGAAAUAACAUGAAAAGAUCAUGUCUGAUGUCCCCAGCUGUGCACAUCAUGGAACCCUGUAUUUUUUCCUCUGGGUUAAUUAUAACAACGAUUAGUGCAUGAAAUGGACAGGAAGAUGAGCCAAGGAUAAGGAAUUCCAAGGAAGAAGACUCGGCCUCUGGAGUGGACAGACUGUGCCACAGGGGAAGAGAGCUGGCCUAAACAAAAGAAAAAAGAGAGAGCCGAAGAUGGUACAUCUUUAUUCCAUAGGAAGAAAAUGGGAGUGGCACACAGUGCUACAUUGUUCAGAGAUGGGAAAAUUGCACCCAGUGGGGACUACAGGGAGAGGUAUCACAUAAGAGAUGAUAUUUGAGUGAGGCACUGAAGAAUGAGGCAGGAGCAAGGGCGGAGGGAAAGUAACUCCAGAACGGCCAGUGAUUGAGCAGACCAGAGAAGGAGGAAAAUGUCAAACCAAAGAAAGAGAAGCCAGAACACGUUUGUGGGAGCAGAGUCUGAGUGUGAAACAAGGACAAGGCAACACUGGCUGCAACCAGGCGAUAGAGGGCUGGGCUAAGGAAUGCAGCCCAGAUUCAGAAAGAAGGGAGAUCCACUAACGUUUCUGCAUUUCGGCAGAGGAAGCUGUGAUCAAAGAACUUCCCCAGGGCGAUACUCUGGCUGCCUGGGUCAGGGUGGAGCAGAAAGCUCAGUCAAGGUAAUGCAAUGGGAGCCGGGGCAAUAGUCCAGGUGUGAGGCUGCGAGGCCUGAGCUGCAGAGGCGGCCCGCAGACAGAGAGAAAGGUAUGCCCCAAGGAAUAUCGUGAACAGGACUCCGUGACAGGCGAGAGGGAGCUGUCAAUGUUCAUGCCAAGGGUUCCAUGACUUCAAGAAUGCCUGUGCUAUUAACAGAAAUAGCAAAGUCAAGACAAAAACAUGGGUUUUUUUUUCUUUUUGUAGCUUUUGAUUAUUGUAUACACAAAAAGUGUUUGUUGAAGAAAAAUCUGAAAACAUAUUAAGGGAAAUAAAAAUAAAUGACCAUAAUGUCAUUGCUACUA
rnacentral:lncRNA from 10 species